GCCCCCUCCGUUGAGCUAAGAAUCCUGAAGACAGUUAAGGAUGAACCGCCAAGGACAGAGGGGACCCAGGGGGCCACCAUCCAUCCCGGCCAUGUCCCUGCCGCUUGGCACAGGGGAAAGGGUCUUUGCCCAUUUUAUCUUGGACAUCUGGGGCCCCGAGAGGCCCACCCGGGGCUGGAAGCGGGGGCCCCUCUCUCCCAGGCUGGGACCUGCGCCUUGGGCUGAGGACGCGUCCACUGAAAUUCCAGCUCACGCUCCCUCGCGUGACGGUGACCCCGGCAAGGACAACACUGUGCCCGCGGGGCUCCGGGGGGCAGGACGUGUGCCUGAUGAGCCGCGUCUCCCGGGGCCUACAGCAGCGGCUGGUACACGGUCUGGGCUCCUCAAGUGCGCCUGAAAGACGAAUAAGGAACGACACCAGCGCCUGGUCUGAGGUCCUGGGCGCCUGGCGCACACAGGGCCUCCCCGAGCGCUCACCGCUAGCCGAGCGGGGAAGGGGAUCACUCGCCCCCACUUCACAGACCAGGAAACCGAGACUCAGACACGGGAGGCCGUUUGCCCGAAGGCGCACGGCCGGGCAAUCCCUGGUGAGUCGUGACCGUGCCUGUGUCUCAGUCCUCGUGCUUUUUCCUGAGCGAUGCCUCGCAUUCCGAAGACGCGCAGGUUGUAACAGAAUGAGGGUGGGAUUCGAGUAACAGAAUGAGGGUGGGAUUCGAGAAACGUCCGGACCUGAGCAACCCCCACCCCCACCGAGUUUCCCCGAGCCCCAGAGACAGCCAGCCCCCCUCCGCCCGCCCGGGACGGCGCUGCCAGUCUGGGCGUCCCGUGGCCACCGUGUCAUGUGUCCCGGGAGUGGAGAGGGGUGGCCAGCAGGCUGAGUCUGCGGACCUUCGCCCUCCUGCAGGGAACAACUCCGGUGACUGAAAAGUAACCCCGUGUACCCACCGUGCUUGUGGGCAUUGAAACCCCCAGGCCCUCUGCCAGGGUCAGCGUGUUGGGGACUUUGGGCCGGUUUUGUACACGGUGAACAUCAGUCUGGGGGCCGCUUUGGUUUUAUGUUGUUUUGUGGGAAGAUUUUGGUUUUGAAGUGAUCUCCACGCCCGGCGUGGGGCUGGCACUCCCCACCCAGAGAUCCGGGGUCCCAAGCUUCACGGAGCCAGCCAGGCGCCCCGCGGGGCUGCUUUGCUUUUGUAAGUGAACCUUCCAAGGAGGAGAAAGACACUGCUCAAAUCUGACUCUUUCUUAAGCCUCGAAUCCACUGGAAACUUACACUUCUAUUUCUGGAUAGAAUACAUUUCCCCAACCCCAUCACCGCGGAGGGAAGCAUUUUCUGUCAUGUUUGCUUCCAUUGAUAAACUGAGGUCGUUAAACUCUCUUAUGUAUUUUCAACCGCAUGUGGGAUUUACCGUGUUUUUUGUGUUGAAGUUUAUUUAUUUAUUUUGAGAGAUGGAGAAAGAGAGAGGGAGGUAUGGAGAGCAAGAGGGACACAGAGAAUCCCAAGCACUGUCCGUGAGGAGCUGGGUGUGGGGCUGGAACCCAUGAACCUUGAGAUCGUGACCUGAGCCGAAAUCCAGAGUUGGGUGCUUAACCGACUGAGCCAGCCAGGUGCCCCCCACCACGUAUUAAAUUUGAAGUGUUUCCCAUCGUCCACUCAGUUCUUCCAAGUAAUAAGGGAUCGUGGUCCGUUUCCACGCCUGAGGUGGGAGUCCAGUGACCUGUUCUUUCCACCUUUCCUUCUUUCCUCCCCUCCCUCCCUUCACCUCCCCUCCCCUCCCCUCCCUUCCCUUUGCUCUCCUUCCUUGGCUGAGGGAUUGGGCCAUCAGGUGGGGGGACAGGUGCUGCCUCUUGGUGGGGGGAGGGAUGGGGCAGGAUAGCAGCUGGCCAAGGGGAGGGGACGCUCUUCCAGCUGCUGUCGUGUCAGAGGGAGUGAGUGAGGAGGGCGCUCAGAAGGGGGUGGUCCUCAGGACCUAGGGUGGGGGUGAGGGGAGAGGGGCGGCUGGACCUUGGGAACCCAGCCCCAGCAGGGGAGUCGGAGGUGUCUGUGCUGGGGAGGAAAGGGUCCCUGCGGGAGUGACUGCAGGGUGGGUUUCCACCACAGAAGGCGAGUCUCUUCUGUGACAUUCAGAGGGAAGAGUUCUAGUGUGGAAAGGGGAAAAUGACCAUGAACCUGACUGGCGGUAUUUCAUGAGGGGUUUUGGAGGGUGGGGGUGGGGUGGGGGGUUUGCGUCUCCUUAAAAUCUUUUUUAUUACGUUAAAAUAUAAAAAUAUGGGUGACUCAGUCGGUUGAGCGUCAGACACUUGGUUUCUGCUCAGGUCAUAUCUAGGGUCAUGGGAUCGAGCCUUGGUGCUGAGCACGGAGCCUGCUUAAGAUGUUCUCUGUCUCUCCCUCUGCCCUCUCCCCUGCUUGUGCGCUCUCUCUAAAGUAAAUAAAAUAAAAUAUAUACGUGUGGUAUCUAAAUGGGUUGUCUCUCGAUCAGAUGGGGGUCCCCAAACAUGGGUGAGGAUCACGUGGAAGCCAGU
rnacentral:lncRNA from 1 species